rnacentral:rRNA from 1 species
UACGGAGGGGGCUAGCGUUGUUCGGAAUUACUGGGCGUAAAGCGCACGUAGGCGGCUUUGUAAGUUAGAGGUGAAAGCCUGGGGCUCAACUCCAGAACUGCCUUUAAAACUGCAUCGCUUGAAUCCAGGAGAGGUGAGUGGAAUUCCGAGUGUAGAGGUGAAAUUCGUAGAUAUUCGGAAGAACACCAGUGGCGAAGGCGGCUCACUGGACUGGUAUUGACGCUGAGGUGCGAAAGCGUGGGGAGCAAACAGG